GUGCACGGAGAACACGCGUGUUUCCGUUUCAACGAAAACAAACAAACACAGCUUCACCGUGACUGUCACAGCGAACGCUUGUAUUUUACAUCUUUAAAACGACCUGAUGUCAGAAGAAGAAGAUGCCCUGGAUCCCCUGUUGCAGGAUGACCCAAACGAUCAUGCAUUCAGUAUAAAUACGUACAUGGUAUUGACAUCCCAAUAUUUAGUGGGAAGUUCCCAGGUAUCAUCCGCUAGCGACAGUCUACUGCAAAUCCAGACAUGCAUUGGAAGGAUGCUGAUGUGGAGGGCACAGGAACACCUGAUCCCAGAACUGUGGCAUUUCAUUCGGGGUGACAACCUGGCUUUCAGUUGGUAUGACUCUUUGAGGUUGAAUAUAGGGUUUAAUCAGUAUAAAUUUGAUUAACAUUCAAAUAAAUCCAGAUAAUACAUUCACAAUUGGAAUCAUGGCAUUAUGGUACACUGAUAUGUGUGUACCAUUUUACUGGGGGUUUUUUGUUUUGUUUUUGUGUUUUGUUUUUUCUUUUGUUUUUUUUUCUUUUAUUUAAUUUUUUUUUCUGCAUAACUAGGGAUCAUAUACAUACAAAAUGAGACAAUUUCUAAUUAGUUUUUAAUUAUAAGAUAUGACACGUUUUAAGGUAUGGUGGCCAAUACUGAUUUUAUUUGCAAUUUUCUUUCAGAUAUCAUAUGGGACUCUAUUAUUCGCAGAACUGCAGAUUUUAUGAAGCUGUCUUUGACAGAAGAUUUGGUUUUCUCCAUCUGUGUUGCCACCAACCAUUAUGCUGAGAUAGUCAUAUCUAGGGGGAAGGGUUGCCAUAUACUUCCCAAGGAAGUGUGCAGCCUCUCACUGAAGAAGGAACUGUACAGAUUUUUGUACAUUAUCUUAUACACGCCUGCUGUGAAGUUCCAGUCGAUAGACAGAUAUUGGUCAACGCAUGCCCCUGUCGGAACAACUCGUUAUCAAAAAUUAUGUCUAGAAAUAGGUUUCAAGAGGUUUAAUAUAAGAACAUUUUUGUUAAAUAUGAUGCAAGUACAUUUAAAUCUAGUGAUUGAAAGUAAGUACUUGAACAUUCGUUUAUGUUGAACUUAGAGAGGAAAAAUGGUUAGUACUUUUUGAUAACAUUUGAUAAGGUGUUGUUGCUUAGCAACCAAAUAUAAUUGAAUAAAAAAAAUAGAUUAUUUUAGAUUAACAAUAAUUGAAAGAUCUUUGUUUUAAUGUUGCAAUACUUAUUCUAUUUAAUGGAACAAAAUGGCAAAACAUCAUAUUAUUAGAAAAUGAUGGACAAGUAUAUAAAGUACGAAGUUUCCAUUUGAUGACCUUUGACCUUAAUUCUCUUGAUUAUAUUUUUUGUUAAAAACCUUUUAAAAUGAUGAAGAUCUAUUUAAAGAUUAUAUUUUUAAAAUAAUAUGACAUUUACGAGUCAUCAUGGAUUGUAAUUACGUUUAAAUUGUGUCGAAUGGAUGCAGAAAGGCAAAUUAUGGUCAAAAUUGUACUAUGAAUGUUGUUACUUAGCAACCAAAAAUAUUUGUUUGUCAAUAAAAUUGAUUAGUUUGAU